rnacentral:rRNA from 1 species
UACGUAGGGUGCAAGCGUUGUCCGGAAUUAUUGGGCGUAAAGAGCUCGUAGGCGGUCUGUCGCGUCGGACGUGAAAAUCCAGGGCUCAACCCUGGACCUGCGUUCGAUACGGGCAGACUAGAGUUCGGUAGGGGAGACUGGAAUUCCUGGUGUAGCGGUGAAAUGCGCAGAUAUCAGGAGGAACACCGGUGGCGAAGGCGGGUCUCUGGGCCGAAACUGACGCUGAGGAGCGAAAGCGUGGGGAGCGAACAGG